GUUGAGUUGGAUGCAGACAUGAAUAGAUGAGUCUUCUGUCAAGCAGGGCAGAAAUCAAAGCACAGAGAAUAUCAAUAGCAUAGGGAAAAUGUUGAGCACUGACUAUGAGAGAUGAAGUACCAUGGAGGCUACCAAGAGGGAGAGGAUUUGGAAAAAAAAGGACAAAAUGAAAGGUGUCAGGAAACAGAUGUUGAAUAGAUGGGAUUCUGAUGUGUGGAGUUUGGGUUUUGCAGGGGAGAGAAAAGCAUGCACCAAGCUACAGGAAGUGUGAGUCAUGCUUCUGUAUCCUCUUCCAUGGGCAAGGAGGUUGUGUACAACUCACCGCCCCAGUGCCAUGCCCACACUUUUUGUUUGAGGUGAUAAGUCCAGUAACAAGAUCACACCGAUGUGCUGAAGGGUUAGGUAAUCAUUAGAGUUCAUUUAGAAUGCACUGUGUUUUAUGGUCUAUUCAUUGGCUCAUCAAGGUAUAGGAACAAAACCUGUCCAAGCCAGCUUAGCCCAAUACACAGGAUCAGAAAGCUGGCUCUGUGUACUACCUACUCUUCCAGAAAUGUUCCUUUAACUUGUACUAGGGACCUUACAUUCUAACACUCUCUGGAACACUCAUAUGGGUAGUCUCUCUUCUUUUCUCAGUAGAAUCAUUCACUAAUUUUGUUUUCUGAUGUUGAUUACUUUUCCUAGGGUUGUAAGACCGGCUCUAUUCCUACUUCUUCCAUCCUCAGUACCUCCACUGUCUACCACACAGCCCCUCAUUCCCUCUUCCUGGGCCAGACCACCUUGUCUAUUUCCCUGGUGAAGCCAGGAGGCUCUCUAGACUGCAACUGAAGCCUCAUCAAUCAUAUUUGAAAGAGCUAGUGCCACAGCUUGUAACCAGCACUGCUGACAUAUGAACCCACCCUGUGAGUGUGACCUCCAGACCUGUGACCCUGUUGCUCCUCUGCUUUGUCCCUGAAGCAGCAUCCUUUGAUGAUGAGGAUUUCCACCACCACAGUAAGGAAGUCAAAGUAAAUGCCAAAGGUGUAUUGCUGAGGACAUUGUUGCUGCCACAGUUACUUUUUCUUGGUCAGAAUGGCUGUAAAAUGUGUCUCCCAGGACUUAGGUUUCUUGGGGCUUUGUGUAUCUUGUUUCAUGAGUCAGGCUAAAGAAUUGUGCCAAGGAUUGAAGGCAGACUGAUUUCUUUAAUAAACUUGUUGGCUUGUACACAGUCAUGAGAGGGUAGUCUUGAUUUUGUGGUAUGCUUUGUUUGCAUCCUACUGAUGGGAAAAUAUUAAAAUACAAGGACUGUGAUUUUUUAAAAAAAUUUCAGUAUUUUACUAAUUAUUUUAUCCCUCAGUCUAAUGACACCAAGAAUAACUUUGUUCUGUAGAGAGAGAACCCACAUCUACAAUGAGAAGCUUAAAGCUACACAAGAGAAAAGAGAGAAGCAAACUUUUAUUGCACACGUGCUUCCCGUUACACAUCAUACUAGGCACUUUACAUGCAUUCUAGCAUUUAAUCUCUUAAGAUAUGUGCUAUUAUUUUCCACUUUGUAAGUGCGGAGACUUAGGCUCAAGCUUUUUUGGCUGUAAAAUCAAAGGCUGUUAGGUCAGUUGCCCACAGCUGGUAUGCAUCCCUAGGAAACCUCUAAUCGUGGGGUCUUCACUGCCUGAUCUUUAAAAAUGUGAGGAAUAACUUAUAUAUCCAAAUGUAUUUUAAACUAUAGUUCAAUGGAUUCUGACAAAU
rnacentral:lncRNA from 1 species